rnacentral:tRNA from 1 species
UAUUUAAUAGUUUAAGGAAAAAACUUUAAAUUGCAAAUUUAAAAAUGUUAUUAAUUUAACUUAAAUAU